AGAACAAUUCUGUUCUAUGUAGGAAUGCACCUCCUAACAACAAAAUCUGAAGACCCCCACCACAGCCACACACCCGCAGGCACAGACACAGAGCUGAAUGUGCACUGAAGGAAAAUCAGACCAGAACUUGAUGCAGGCAGCCAGGCAGCCUCAGCACCUUCCUGAGCCUAGCCAAUGACCAGGGCAGAUACAUGCUCUCCCAUUUUCCUGGCACUGAGUGGAGACAUCGUUACCCUGCACUACUAUGGGAGCUUGCCUCCACUAGGCACCCCAGGGUCCAAGAGGCACCGGCAGCACUGAAGAGGCUACUGAGGCCUGGAAGACAGCAGCACUGCACCUGUAAUGCUGUGCUAUUAGCCACACUAUAAUCCUUAACCUUACAUAACCUCACUAACCCCAUGGGAGGCAGACACUCUGACCUGCCAGGCCCUGACCUCUGCCUGGAAGCCUAGCCACUGGUGCCAAGACUCUAGAAGGACUCUUAGGCUCUUCAAAGAAGUUGGGGCCUCUGUAUGCAGGAGCUUCACCAAGAAGAAAACUUAGACAAGUCUUCAUUGGUUUUGUUGCUUUAAGCAUUUUUCGGCACUUGUUUGUUUCUGUUGAAUACUUUCUCCUCAUGAAGAGUUGUAAGUUCGCUUUCUAAGUUUGUACUCACUGGUUUCUUCUCUCCCUUGUCUGCAAGAUCUUCAAUUUUAAGCAUCUGUUCCUUGAAAUGAAAACAGUAUUUUUAAAAA
rnacentral:lncRNA from 1 species